AACGAACGCUGGCGGCAUGCCUAACACAUGCAAGUCGAACGAGACCUUCGGGUCUAGUGGCGCACGGGUGCGUAACGCGUGGGAAUCUACCCUCAGGUUCGGAAUAACUCAGAGAAAUUUGAGCUAAUACCGGAUGAUGACGUAAGUCCAAAGAUUUAUCGCCUGAGGAUGAGCCCGCUUAGGAUUAGGUAGUUGGUGAGGUAAAGGCUCACCAAGCCGACGAUCCUUAGCUGGUCUGAGAGGAUGAUCAGCCACACUGGGACUGAGACACGGCCCAGACUCCUACGGGAGGCAGCAGUGGGGAAUAUUGGACAAUGGGCGAAAGCCUGAACCAGCAAUGCCGCGUGAGUGAUGAAGGCCUUAGGGUUGUAAAGCUCUUUUACCCGGGAUGAUAAUGACAGUACCGGGAGAAUAAGCUCCGGCUAACUCCGUG
rnacentral:rRNA from 1 species